rnacentral:rRNA from 1 species
GAAUUUUGGACAAUGGGCGAAAGCCUGAUCCAGCAACGCCGCGUGCAGGAUGAAGGCCUUCGGGUUGUAAACUGCUUUUGUACGGAACGAAAAGCCGUGGGUUAAUACCCUGGCGUCAUGACGGUACGCUAAGAAUAAGCCCCGGCUCACUACGUUCCAGAAGCCCCGGUAAUCCGUAGGGUGCAAGCGUUAAUCGGAAUUACUGGGCGUAAAGCGUGCGCAGGCGGUUUUGUAAGACAGAGGGGAAAUCCCCGGGCUCAACCUGGGAACUGCCUUUGUGACUGCAAGGCUAGAGUACGGCAGAGGGGGGUGGAAUUCCGCGUGUAGCAGUGAAAUGCGUAGAUAUGCGGAGGAACACCGAUGGCGAAGGCAACCCCCUGGGCCUGUACUGACGCUCAUGCACGAAAGCGUGGGGAGCAAACA